GUGCCAGCAGCCGCGGUAAUACGGAGGGUGCAAGCGUUAAUCGGAAUUACUGGGCGUAAAGCGUGCGUAGGCGGCUGUUUAAGUCAGAUGUGAAAGCCCCGGGCUUAACCUGGGAACUGCAUUUGAUACUGGGCAGCUAGAGUUGAGUAGAGGAGAGGGGAAUUUCAGGUGUAGCGGUGAAAUGCGUAGAGAUCUGAAGGAACACCAGUGGCGAAGGCGCCUCUCUGGACUCAAACUGACGCUGAGGUACGAAAGCGUGGGUAGCAAACAGGAUUAGAUACCCUGGUAGUCCACGCCGUAAACGAUGUCAACUAGCCGUUGGUCUUAUUCGUAAGAUUAGUGGCGCAGCUAACGCGAUAAGUUGACCGCCUGGGGAGUACGGCCGCAAGGUUAAA
rnacentral:rRNA from 1 species